rnacentral:rRNA from 1 species
CGGGCGGCAGCAGUGGGGAAUAUUGGACAAUGGGGGAAACCCUGAUCCAGCCAUGCCGCGUGUGUGAAGAAGGCCUUCGGAUUGUAAAGCACUUUAAGUUGGGAGGAGGGUACCUAGAUUAAUACUUUGCGAUAGUGGACGUUACUCGCAGAAUAAGCACCGGCUAACUCUGUGCCAGCAGCCGCGGUAAUACAGAGGGUGCGAGCGUUAAUCGGAUUUACUGGGCGUAAAGCGUGCGUAGGCGGUCAAUUAAGUCAAAUGUGAAAUCCCCGAGCUUAACUUGGGAAUUGCAUUCGAUACUGGUUGGCUAGAGUAUGGUAGAGGAUGGUAGAAUUCCAGGUGUAGCGGUGAAAUGCGUAGAGAUCUGGAGGAAUACCGAUGGCGAAGGAAGCCAUCUGGCCUAAUACUGACGCUGAGGUGCGAAAGCAUGGGGAGCAAACAGGAUUAGAUACCCUGGUAGUCCACGCCGUAAACGAUGUCUACUAGCCGUUGGGGCCCUUGAGGCUUUAGUGGCGCAGCUAACGCGAUAAGUAGACCGCCUG